AGUGUAGGUGGUUAUGUAAGUCACAUGUGAAAGCCUUGGGCUAAACCCAAGAAAUGCAUGUGAUACUGUGUAACUAGAGUGUGAGAGGGGUAAGUGGAAUUCCUAGUGUAGCGGUAGAAUGCGUAGAGAUUAGGAGGAACACCAGAGGCGAAGGCGGCUUACUGGCUCAUAACUGACACUGAGGCUCGAAAGCGUGGGGAGCAAACA
rnacentral:rRNA from 1 species